CCUACGGGUGGCAGCAGUGGGGAAUAUUGGACAAUGGGGGCAACCCUGAUCCAGCCAUGCCGCGUGUGUGAAGAAGGCCCUCGGGUUGUAAAGCACUUUCAGUGAGGAAGAACGCCUGGUGGUUAAUACCCAUCAGGAAAGACAUCACUCACAGAAGAAGCACCGGCUAACUCCGUGCCAGCAGCCGCGGUAAUACGGAGGGUGCGAGCGUUAAUCGGAAUUACUGGGCGUAAAGCGCGCGUAGGUGGCUUGAUAAGCCGGUUGUGAAAGCCCCGGGCUCAACCUGGGAACGGCAUCCGGAACUGUCAAGCUAGAGUGCAGGAGAGGAAGGUAGAAUUCCCGGGGUAGCGGUGAAAUGCGUAGAGAUCGGGAGGAAUACCAGUGGCGAAGGCGGCCUUCUGGACUGACACUGACACUGAGGUGCGAAAGCGUGGGUAGCAAACAGGAUUAGAUACCCUUGUAGUC
rnacentral:rRNA from 1 species